CUGUCUCGGCUGCAGUUUUAAUCGUUCAACGGUCCUUCUACUCAGAUCCUACGUGCAAAACUAUUGUGUGCAGCCGAGAGAAAAACUGCGCGUCUGACAGAUUGUUCUGGCUGUCUUUAGGAAUAUCACUUUGUGAAGUAGAUGACGAGGCUGACAUAAAGGCUAGGUUAUAAGAAACACUAAAAUUUGGCCGGAAACAUUUGUUCAACUGGGGAAGCGUGCGCAUCAACAAUGUCCGUAUCUAGGACUAUUAUCUUUGUGGUUUCUAUUGUCGCUUUCAUGCUAGUGCAGGAGACAAAAGAAAGAAUUGUGAUUUCGAGUCACAGCAGUACAGCCUGGGAUAGGAAACUGCAUGGUCCACACGGGAAUUCUGAGAUUGAAACCCGUCGACGAAGCACCAUACCAGCUCCUUAUGGACUGCUAGUCAAUUAUUUUGGACCUUGAGAGAACCCUACCGUGGUGGCGCAUUUAACACCGAGGGGACGUUUGUGGCGCAUUCUGUACUGCCUGUAUUUAUGCUUCCCUCCGGUUUAUUAGGUUUCUUUCUGCAGGGCUCUUAUUCUGCUGGCUCCCACCUCGGAUGGGACUUUGUGGUUUGCUACAACGUGAAAAUGCACAUAUUGAGUACGCGGCAUGCAUUAAACCUCUGUGACGCGUAACACUACUGCUGCUGUGUCGAAGUUAAAUAAAUCUACUUACAUGAGUUCUUUCUAAAAGCUGUGUGUGUAACUUUAUCCCGGCAGCAAAUGUUCCCAUCACUGCAAUCUACGUCGC